rnacentral:rRNA from 1 species
CAGGCUUAACACAUGCAAGUCGAGGGGCAGCAUGGUCUUAGCUUGCUAAGGCCGAUGGCGACCGGCGCACGGGUGAGUAACACGUAUCCAACCUGCCGUCUACUCUUGGACAGCCUUCUGAAAGGAAGAUUAAUACAAGAUGGCAUCAUGAGUCCGCAUGUUCACAUGAUUAAAGGUAUUCCGGUAGACGAUGGGGAUGCGUUCCAUUAGAUAGUAGGCGGGGUAACGGCCCACCUAGUCUUCGAUGGAUAGGGGUUCUGAGAGGAAGGUCCCCCACAUUGGAACUGAGACACGGUCCAAACUCCUACGGGAGGCAGCAGUGAGGAAUAUUGGUCAAUGGGCGAGAGCCUGAACCAGCCAAGUAGCGUGAAGGAUGACUGCCCUAUGGGUUGUAAACUUCUUUUAUAAAGGAAUAAAGUCGGGUAUGCAUACCCGUUUGCAUGUACUUUAUGAAUAAGGAUCGGCUAACUCCGUGCCAGCAGCCGCGGUAAUACGGAGGAUCCGAGCGUUAUCCGGAUUUAUUGGGUUUAAAGGGAGCGUAGAUGGAUGUUUAAGUCAGUUGUGAAAGUUUGCGGCUCAACCGUAAAAUUGCAGUUGAUACUGGAUAUUUUGAGUGCAGUUGAGGCAGGCGGAAUUCGUGGUGUAGCGGUGAAAUGCUUAGAUAUCACGAAGAACUCCGAUUGCGAAGGCAGCCUGCUAAGCUGCAACUGACAUUGAGGCUCGAAAGUGUGGGUAUCAAACAGGAUUAGAUACCCUGGUAGUCCACACGGUAAACGAUGAAUACUCGCUGUUUGCGAUAUACGGCAAGCGGCCAAGCGAAAGCGUUAAGUAUUCCACCUGGGGAGUACGCCGGCAACGGUGAAACCCAAAGGAAUUGACGGGGGCCCGCACAAGCGGAGGAACAUGUGGUUUAAUUCGAUGAUACGCGAGGAACCUUACCCGGGCUUAAAUUGCAGAUGAAUUACGGUGAAAGCCGUAAGCCGCAAGGCAUCUGUGAAGGUGCUGCAUGGUUGUCGUCAGCUCGUGCCGUGAGGUGUCGGCUUAAGUGCCAUAACGAGCGCAACCCUUGUUGUCAGUUACUAACAGGUCAUGCUGAGGACUCUGACAAGACUGCCAUCGUAAGAUGUGAGGAAGGUGGGGAUGACGUCAAAUCAGCACGGCCCUUACGUCCGGGGCUACACACGUGUUACAAUGGGGGGGUACAGAGGGCCGCUACCACGCGAGUGGAUGCCAAUCCCCAAAACCUCUCUCAGUUCGGACUGGAGUCUGCAACCCGACUCCACGAAGCUGGAUUCGCUAGUAAUCGCGCAUCAGCCACGGCGCGGUGAAUACGUUCCCGGGCCUUGUACACACCGCCCGUCAAGCCAUGGGAGCCGGGGGUACCUGAAGUGCGUAACCGCGAGGAGCGCCCUAAGGUAAAACUGGUGACUGGGGCUAAGUCAUAAC